GACGAACGCUGGCGGCGUGCUUAACACAUGCAAGUCGAGCGGAGCGGCGAACGGGUGAGUAAAGCGUGAGUAACUGCCCCCCUCUCUGGGGUAACAGUUGGAAACGGCUGCUAAUACCGGAUAUUGGGGGAUGACUCGCGGCCUAUCAGCUUGUUGGUGGGGUAGUGGACGACCAACGCGACGACGGGUAGCCGGCCUGAGAGGGCGACAGGCCAACUUGGUCUGAGAGACGGCCCAAACUCCUACGGGAGGCAUCAGUGGGGAAUAUUGCACAAGGGGGGAAACCGUGAUGCAGCAACGCCGGGUGCGGGAGGACGGCCUUCGGAUUGUAAACCGGUUUCAGCCAUGACGCGUUAGUGGCAGAAGAAGCACCGGCUAACUACGUGCCAGCAGCCGCGGUAAUUC
rnacentral:rRNA from 1 species